rnacentral:rRNA from 1 species
UACAGAGGUCCCAAGCGUUGUUCGGAAUCACUGGGCGUAAAGCGCACGUAGGUGGCUUUUCAAGUCUGUUGUGAAAGCCCAGGGCCUAACCCUGGAAGUGCAGCAGAUACUGUUAAGCUUGAGUAUGGGAGAGGAUAGUGGAAUUCCUGGUGUAGUGGUGAAAUACGUAGAUAUCAGGAGGAACACCGGUGGCGAAGGCGACUAUCUGGCCCAAUACUGACGCUGAGGUGCGAAAGCGUGGGGAUCAAACAGG